CCCUUAACUAUUAAAAGUUUCGUUUUGGUCCCUUAACUUAUUUUUGGGUUUCGUUUUGGUCCCUUAACUUAUUUUUUUUGUUUCAUUUUGGUCCCUUAACUCUAAUACAUUCAUCCUAACAUAAAGGACCAAAGUGGUUGACGGAUGAAGAGUUAAGGGACCAAAACGAAAGCAAAAAGUAAGUUAAAGGACCAAAACGAAACCAAAAAGUAAGUUAAGGGACCAAAACGAAACUUUUAAUAAUUAAGGGA
rfam:Medicago truncatula strain A17 chromosome 7, whole genome shotgun sequence.